rnacentral:rRNA from 1 species
UACGUAGGGUGCAAGCGUUAAUCGGAAUUACUGGGCGUAAAGCGUGCGCAGGCGGUUUUGUAAGUCUGGCGUGAAAGCCCCGGGCUCAACCUGGGAAUUGCAUUUGAGACUGAAUAGCUAGGGUGCGGAAGAGGGAAGCGGAAUUUCCGGUGUAGCGGUGAAAUGCGUAGAUAUCGGAAGGAACACCAGUGGCGAAAGCGGCUUCCUGGUCCAGCACCGACGUUCAGGCACGAAAGCGUGGGGAGCAAACAGG